rnacentral:ncRNA from 1 species
AUUAAAAGUUUGAUUCUUGCUUAUUAAGUUUAUUGUUAAGUUGGUUUUGCACAUGUAAGUUUGGGCGCGGUUAAAUUAUAUUUCUUUAUGAUUUAUAAAAUUUUUAUUCGCAGUGUUUAAUUUUAAAUAAUCAAAUUAUUUUGGAUUUAGGCAAAUUUUCAAUUCCGAUUAAUUCUGUGCCAGCAUUCGCGGUUAUACAGUUGGGGUAAAUAAACUUUUUUGGUUAAUUAUUAUUUUGUUUUUAUAUAGGAUUUUUUUUUGUAUAUUUAAGGUGAAAUUUCAAUUUACUUUGAUUAGUCUUGGUUAAUUAUUAAUAUAAGAAAGUGCAUUUUGAGACUAGGAUUAGAUACCCUAUUAUUUGUACUGUAAAUUUUAGGCCUUAGUAUUAAUAGUUAUGAUCUUUAAAUUAAAAGAAUUUGGCGGUAACUUAAUCUUUCCAGAGGAACCUGUCCUGUAAUUGAUAAUCCACGUUGAAUUUUACUAUAAUUAAAGCUUGUAUACCUCUGUCAUUGAAUGUCUUGUGAAAGUAUUUUCUUUAAUCUUUUUAGGGAGUAAUGUUAGGUCAAGGUGCAGCAAUAUUGUAGGUAGAGAUGGGUUACAUUUAAUUUAUUAUUGGAUCUUUUGAUGUAAAUUUAUCUUGAGUGAAAUUGGAUUUGGAAGUAAUUAUUAUUAUUUAAUAAUAUUGAUUUUGGCUCUAAGUUAUGCACACAUCGCCCGUCACUCUCAUUUUAAGAUGAGAUAAGUCGUAACAAAGUAGGCUUACCGGAAGGUGAGCCUGGUAUUAUUUUUUA